GAAGCGACGCAUGCGCCCGC
rnacentral:snRNA from 1 species